AGAGUUUGAUCAUGGCUCAGAAUCAACGCUGGCGGCGUGCCUAACACAUGCAAGUCGAGCGAGAAAAGGGGGGCAACUCCCUGAGUAAAGCGGCGCACGGGUGAGUAACACGUGGGUAAUCUGCCCUGGAGUGGGGAAUAACACCGGGAAACCGGUGCUAAUACCGCAUACGAUCACAGAGUCUGCGGAUUUUGUGAUGAAAGGAGCAAUUCGCUCCAGGAGGAGCCCGCGGCUGAUUAGCUAGUUGGUGAGGUAAUGGCUCACCAAGGCAACGAUCAGUAUCCGGUCUGAGAGGACGGUCGGACACACUGGAACUGAGACACGGUCCAGACUCCUACGGGAGGCAGCAGUGGGGAAUUUUUGGCAAUGGGGGCAACCCUGACCAAGCAACGCCGCGUGGGUGAUGAAGUCUCUUGGGACGUAAAACCCUUUCGACGGGGAAGAAACCGCAAGGUUGACGGUACCCGUAGAAGAAGCCCCGGCUAACUCCGUGCCAGCAGCCGCGGUAAUACGGGGGGGGCGAGCGUUGUUCGGAAUUACUGGGCGUAAAGGGCGCGUAGGCGGUUCGUUAAGUCGGAUGUGAAAACUCUGGGCUCAACCCAGAGCCUGCAUCCGAAACUGGUGGACUAGAGUUCUGGAGGGGGUAGCGGAAUUCCUGGUGUAGCGGUGAAAUGCGUAGAUAUCAGGAGGAACACCGGUGGCGAAGGCGGCUACCUGGACAGAAACUGACGCUGAGGCGCGAAAGCUAGGGGAGCAAACAGGAUUAGAUACCCUAGUAGUCC
rnacentral:rRNA from 1 species